UACGUAGGGUGCAAGCGUUGUCCGGAAUUAUUGGGCGUAAAGAGCUCGUAGGCGGUUCGUCGCGUCGGCUGUGAAAUCCCGGAGCUCAACUCCGGGUCUGCAGUCGAUACGGGCGGACUCGAGUUCGGUAGGGGAGACUGGAAUUCCUGGUGUAGCGGUGAAAUGCGCAGAUAUCAGGAGGAACACCGGUGGCGAAGGCGGGUCUCUGGGCCGAUACUGACGCUGAGGAGCGAAAGCGUGGGGAGCGAACAGG
rnacentral:rRNA from 1 species